UACGUAGGGUGCAAGCGUUAAUCGGAAUUACUGGGCGUAAAGCGUGCGCAGGCGGUUUUGUAAGUCUGACGUGAAAUCCCCGGGCUCAACCUGGGAAUUGCGUUGGAGACGGCAAGGCUGGAGUCUGGCAGAGGGGGGUAGAAUUCCACGUGUAGCAGUGAAAUGCGUAGAGAUGUGGAGGAACACCGAUGGCGAAGGCAGCCCCCUGGGUCAAGACUGACGCUCAUGCACGAAAGCGUGGGGAGCAAACAGG
rnacentral:rRNA from 1 species